rnacentral:rRNA from 1 species
UGGGGAAUAUUGGACAAUGGGCGAAAGCCUGAUCCAGCCAUGCCGCGUGUGUGAAGAAGGUCUUCGGAUUGUAAAGCACUUUAAGUUGGGAGGAAGGGCAUUAACCUAAUACGUUAGUGUUUUGACGUUACCGACAGAAUAAGCACCGGCUAACUCUGUGCCAGCAGCCGCGGUAAUACAGAGGGUGCAAGCGUUAAUCGGAAUUAAUGGGCGUAAAGCGCGCGUAGGUGGUUUGUUAAGUUGGAUGUGAAAUCCCCGGGCUCAACCUGGGAACUGCAUUCAAAACUGACUGACUAGAGUAUGGUAGAGGGUGGUGGAAUUUCCUGUGUAGCGGUGAAAUGCGUAGAUAUAGGAAGGAACACCAGUGGCGAAGGCGACCACCUGGACUAAUACUGACACUGAGGUGCGAAAGCGUGGUGAGCAAACA